UUCAUUUCUAAUCUUUUUGCUUUCUUUUCCUUCACAGAGCAACCAUGGCUAUCAAAAUUUCCAGUGAACUCGAAAGCCACACCGACCACUCGACUUUAGAUCCGACGACGACGACACCUCUAUUCCGACGUAUUGCAGCAAGGAAACAUGUGUUAGUGGAAGCUUGGUGGAGCUACAUGGGUGUAAUGCUGUGGAUGAGGACAAAAUAUGGGGUCUACAGGAUAUAGUUGAUGGUGACGUGGGAAGAUCUGAAGCAAUGGAUUGUAAAUGUGGUGUGAAUUAGAGCCACCGCAAGGGAAUAUGAUGGGCCAGAUAGCUGACACGUGUAGGGUACGGGCGGCUGACACAAGACCACGCAAAGCAUCUAGCGGUGGAAGUUGGUUGGAGACAUCCUUUUCAUGGAGAUGUAUUUCAUCACCUCUUGUUUUUUUUUUUU